CUGUCUCUGGGAUGUUCGCCAGCCGGUCUGAUUCCCCUGAGCCGAUAUCAUCUCUUUAGGAUGGUGUUCUGCAUAUUUAGAGCGUAUGCCUACCCCGAGUAGGAAACCCAGCAAGUAUGCGUCACCUCCACC
rnacentral:sRNA from 1 species